UACAGAGGUCUCAAGCGUUGUUCGGAUUCAUUGGGCGUAAAGCGCACGUAGGCGGCCUGACAAGUCGGGUGUGAAAGCCCUGGGCUCAACCCAGGAAGUGCACUCGAAACUGCCAGGCUUGAAUAUGGAAGAGGGUCGCGGAAUUCCCGGUGUAGAGGUGAAAUUCGUAGAUAUCGGGAGGAACACCAGUGGCGAAGGCGG
rnacentral:rRNA from 1 species